UGGCAUGCACCUGUAAUCCCAGCAACUUGGGAGGCUGAGGCAUGAGAAUCACUUGAACGUGGGAGGUGGAGGUUACUGUGAGCCAAAACUGCGCUACUGCACUCCACCCUGGGUGAGAAGAGUGAAACUCCGUCUCAAAAAAAAAAAGCCUCAUUUCUAGUUUCCCUUGGACACCCUCUCUGUGCCCCUCCCCAAACUCCCUUCCCACUUAGUCCCCUGAACCUGACUCCACUUUGCUCUGUCUCCUGCCAGGCUCAGCUGAGCACCAGGUCCUGAGCUGGCACCCACAGAAGAGCAGAGCAGAUGACACUGAGAGCUGGUAUGAAGUGGAAAGUCAUCAGCGGCGAGUCGCCCUGUGUUUGUCUUCUUCGGCUCUCCCGAUGUGUUGACUCAGCUGAAAAAAGAUACUGACAACAGCACCCCGAGUCACCGGCAGGCUUGGCAGAAGAUUCACUGGGUUUUCUCGGUGUGUGUCCCGGGGUGUGGCACCAGGUCUGGCUCACGUCAGUUUUCUUCCAUCACAGGGAAAGGGCUUCCAGUUUUGGCCUUGUCCUCCCUCCCACCACCCCUACUUCCUCCCUUCCUUGCCUCCUUCCUUUCCUUCCUCUAAGGCAGUGGUUCUCAACCUUGGCUGCACGUUGAAAUUGCCCAGGGAGACUUAAAAAUUACUGAUGCCCAAAGAUUCUGAUUUCAUGGUUCGAGGUAUGGCCUAGGAAAUAGAGUUUUUUUAAAGUUCCCUAGGUGAUUCUAAUACGCAGCCAAGGUGGGGAACCACUGGUCUGAGGACACGGAGUAGGGAUCCUAAUUUUAGCCUCAACCGUUUCCUAGUCUGCUGGGUUUGGAAAAGUGUGGGGCACAAAUGUCUACUGGCAGUGGAUGGAAGGAAAGGGAAGUAGAGAGAAACAUACCUCACCCCCCAUCCCACCUCACUACCCUGCGAGACUCAGGGAGGUCAGUCCUCUAGGGUGUCCAGUUGACAGCAUAUGACAGAGUGGAGAGGACACCCCAGGACACAGGGAGGCUCCUGUGUGCUGAGGGCAUGAGGCCAACAGCCCUGUUCUGGAGCCUCAGGCACUGCAGUUUUGGGGUCUUCAAAAGGCAACGCCCUGGGUAUGGGUGGCAGCGUUCCCACAGGGCAGGCCAGCAAACGAGGUGACCCUGGAGUGACUGUGGCAGCACGACAUCAGCGCAGAGCCGCGUGGGGAGAGGGACUCUCGCUGACAGUCCUGUUCACGAACACACGCGGGGCACUCCCAAGAGGUCCUCCAAGUCAGAGUAAGCCUACAGCAGACAGAAACAAGCACAGUGAAUUCUGGUCAUUUCACCGAUGGGAGCCCAUCUGGACCUAUGGAUGGUGAGGUCUGGGGUCACAGAUACAAGCCACAGUCAUGAAACAGUCUGGUGGUGGCAGCGGUGCAGUAAGGUCCAGCAGACGUUUGCCAGCCUCCUCCGAUGUUGCCUCCUCGUUGGGUCAGCCGCCCUGAACAGUUUUCAUUCCAUAUGUUCACCAGGCAGUCAGGGUCUUCUUGACGCUAGGCUUUUCUGCAUGCAUGUUCUCAAUGUGGAGUAUUUGCUUUACUUCCUGUGCAAGUUUUCUCCCUUUUUGAAAAAAUCACAUUCUCUCCUAAAUUAGAAAACCUCUUUAAUUGUUAGCAGGAGCUGGGGUUCUGUUCCUUGCAUGGACAAUAUCAUUAAACAUCGGAAAAUAAACAAACUGGAAAA
rnacentral:lncRNA from 10 species